CCACAGCCGCCAUGGCACCUCAGUCAGAUGAGUAACAAGAGGGGAAAUGCACUACCAUGGUCCCAAUUUGUCCAAAAGUAGUUGUUGAGGAGUUGUAUGUGCAAGAUAAGAUGAUGGGAAUAUCAAGCCACUCAAUAACUUGAAAAUCACUUGGUUGAAGCAAUCUGAGAUCAUCAAGGAGUCAUAUUUCUGUUCUUUGAGGAAUUUACUAUUAUACUUCCCAGGGAUAAGCUCCCUAAUCAUCACCGGAUUAUUGUAUUUGAUGGAAACGGAAAGAUUCUGGACUGUGUAUGUAUGAAAGUUUAUUUAAAUCACAUGUGGACCGCUCUUGUAAAUUUGCAUAAUUAAGCAUCAACUGGAUCAACAGAUUUGAACAACUCA